rnacentral:rRNA from 1 species
UACGGAGGGGGGGCAAGGCUUGUUCGGAAUUACUGGGCGUAAAGGGCUCGUAGGUGGCCAACUAAGUCAGACGUGAAAUCCCUCAGCUUAACUGGGGAACUGCGUCUGAUACUGGAUGGCUUGAGUUUGGGAGAGGGAUGCGGAAUUCCAGGUGUAGCGGUGAAAUGCGUAGAUAUCUGGAGGAACACCGGUGGCGAAGGCGGCAUCCUGGACCAAUACUGACACUGAGGAGCGAAAGCCAGGGGAGCAAACGGG